AGAAGGUAGCCUUGAUAUCCAAACAUUGUUUUUGUUUACUUGAAAAUAUUUGACUUUAAUAAACUCAAAGAUUUUAACAUGUAUACUUUUAAAUUUUAUUCAGAAAUGACAAGAAUAAAAACGUGGAUUUUUUUCCCACCUGCAUUUUCAAAGAAGAUAUGGAGAGCAAGAAUGAAAGAAGAUAUCCCAAUAUGGUUUUGGUUUCCAGGAAAUGUGCAGCAGGAAGGUAGCAGGAGAUACCAUAUCAACCCAGCAAUUCACCCAGAACUUCCUUAUACUUGUAUCCUCCCUGGGCUUUUGGCUAGAAUAACUUUGUUAUUAGACAAACAUUAUCACUGCCGCAUGCUGGGAAAGAUCUGAAUGCAGCUGUUCAUCAUUGAUAUGAUAAUUUAUAAUGCAAUCUCUUCCUGUUACUACUAUGGCAUAGUUUUAAUUUGCCACUUUGUAUUUGACAUGGGAAGGCCAUUUCUUCUUACUUUUAUAGUUUACUUUUCUUCCUGUAAUAGAGCCUAUCAGAAUUCAUCUCCCUUCCAUUGUUCCUUGGAAAAGUAUAUUGCUACCAAGAGUAACUAUUAUUGCAAUAGUAGUCCUGCUUUCUGAAUUCAUUGAUUGGUUUAAUCUUUUAAUGUUUUUAAAAUGUUAUAUUGUCCGGGAAAUAUUAUAUUGUUUAUUCUUUACAACUUUCUUGUAUCAUACAUAAUAUUCAUGUAUCACUAGAGUAUGAAAGAGAUGAAUCUAUUGAUGUUCAAAUUAGAAACAUAGCUAACAUUUUUCAAUGCAGGUAACUAAAAGAAAUAAACAAAUUAAAAAAUUUAAUACCUGGAAAGUAGAUAAUCAAAUAAUCAUAUGCCAACUUUCCAAAAAUAGGAAAAAGGCAUAAUUUAUGUGAUUUCUUCAGAUUCACAGAAUUUGUAAGCUAUGCUACACCUGGCUAAUACACAUAAGCAAUUGUAUAAUUGGCAUACAUUUGAUAGCUAAUUAUAUGUAACAAAUGCUUCUGUACGGAAUAAGUGAAAUGAGAAAAGCACAGCAUAACUUUUAGU
rnacentral:lncRNA from 1 species